AUUCUAAUAGUUUAAAAAAAAAUUUUGAUUUGUGGGAUCAGGGAUGUAAGCUUUACUUAGGAUA
rnacentral:tRNA from 1 species